UAUNGUUCCAUACAGAAGCGUGAGACCUUGGUAUUUUUUUGACACCAUAUUUGCAUUAUCAUCACAGGGACGAUUACAAGAGAAACUAUUAGAAACGUUGCACGGUUUUACGAAAAAAAUAAUUGCAGAGAGAAAACGUUUUCACGAAGAAACUAAUG